rnacentral:rRNA from 1 species
UACGAAGGAUUCGAGCGUUAUCCGGAUUUAUUGGGUUUAAAGGGUGCGUAGGUGGACUAAUAAGUCAGUGGUGAAAGCCCGCAGCUUAACUGCGGAACUGCCAUUGAUACUGCUAGUCUUGAGUACAGUUGAGGUGGGCGGAAUGUGUCAUGUAGCGGUGAAAUGCUUAGAUAUGACACAGAACACCGAUUGCGAAGGCAGCUCACUAAGCUGUAACUGACACUGAGGCACGAAAGCGUGGGGAGCGAACAGG